CGGCUUCUGAUUGGUCAGGUGGGUCGUAAAAUUCGACUCAUAGCGCCUGCGCGGCUGUGAGCGCGUUCUCAGUCUGCUGUGGGUGAUCAGUGGAGAGGAUGUCUAACGCUGGUGGUUGUGACGGUGACCUGGAGCAUUUGGCGCUUCAGCAUGAUGGCUUUGGCUAGAUUUCGGACAGCGUCAUUGCUCUGCUAAGAGAAUGUUCUAUUGAAACUGAGGAUAUGAUGUCCAUGUAUUGAGACCUGCUUCAGUCAUCUUCCGUCAUGGUGCAGUGAUUUGGAGUGUCCAGGAGGUGGCACUCUGUCCUGUUCCUGGUGAGGAGGAUGCAGAAAUGGAAAGGAUCAAAAAGCAAGAGCAGGACUGGAGUUGGCAUUGAACCGGUCUUCCCUUCAGUGGGGAUGUGGAAUAAAAGGGGAUGAAAGUUUGUCAAGCCCACCAUUAUACAAGGAUGACUGUAUUUACAUGAUGCAAAUCAUUUUCCAAUAAAAUGAUGUCUGGAA